rnacentral:rRNA from 1 species
AGCGAACGCUGGCGGCAGGCUUAACACAUGCAAGUCGAGCGGGCGUAGCAAUACGUCAGCGGCAGACGGGUGAGUAACGCGUGGGAACGUACCUUUUGGUUCGGAACAACCCAGGGAAACUUGGGCUAAUACCGGAUAAGCCCUUACGGGGAAAGAUUUAUCGCCAAAAGAUCGGCCCGCGUCUGAUUAGCUAGUUGGUGAGGUAACGGCUCACCAAGGCGACGAUCAGUAGCUGGUCUGAGAGGAUGAUCAGCCACAUUGGGACUGAGACACGGCCCAAACUCCUACGGGAGGCAGCAGUGGGGAAUAUUGGACAAUGGGCGCAAGCCUGAUCCAGCCAUGCCGCGUGAGUGAUGAAGGCCCUAGGGUUGUAAAGCUCUUUUGUGCGGGAAGAUAAUGACGGUACCGCAAGAAUAAGCCCCGGCUAACUUCGUGCCAGCCGCCGCCGU